rnacentral:rRNA from 2 species
ACAUUUGAGUGAGUGGCGAACUGGUGAGUAACACGUGGGAAACCUGCCCAGAAGCGGGGGAUAACACCUGGAAACAGAUGCUAAUACCGCAUAACAACUUGGACCGCAUGGUCCGAGUUUGAAAGAUGGCUUCGGCUAUCACUUUUGGAUGGUCCCGCGGCGUAUUAGCUAGAUGGUGAGGUAACGGCUCACCAUGGCAAUGAUACGUAGCCGACCUGAGAGGGUAAUCGGCCACAUUGGGACUGAGACACGGCCCAAACUCCAACGGGAGGCAGCAGUAGGGAAUCUUCCACAAUGGACGAAAGUCUGAUGGAGCAACGCCGCGUGAGUGAAGAAGGGUUUCGGCUCGUAAAACUCUGUUGUUAAAGAAGAACAUAUCUGAGAGUAACUGUUCAGGUAUUGACGGUAUUUAACCAGAAAGCCACGGCUAACUACGUGCCAGCAGCCGCGGUAAUACGUAGGUGGCAAGCGUUGUCCGGAUUUAUUGGGCGUAAAGCGAGCGCAGGCGGUUUUUUAAGUCUGAUGUGAAAGCCUUCGGCUCAACCGAAGAAGUGCAUCGGAAACUGGGAA